rnacentral:rRNA from 1 species
AACGAACGCUGGCGGCAUGCCUAACACAUGCAAGUCGAACGAGACCUUCGGGUCUAGUGGCGCACGGGUGCGUAACGCGUGGGAACCUGCCCUUAGGUUCGGAAUAACUCCCCGAAAGGGGUGCUAAUACCGGAUAAUGUCUUCGGACCAAAGAUUUAUCGCCUUUGGAUGGGCCCGCGUUGGAUUAGCUAGUUGGUAGGGUAAAAGCCUACCAAGGCGACGAUCCAUAGCUGGUCUGAGAGGAUGAUCCGCCACACUGGGACUGAGACACGGCCCAGACUCCUACGGGAGGCAGCAGUGGGGAAUAUUGGACAAUGGGCGAAAGCCUGAUCCAGCAAUGCCGCGUGAGUGAUGAAGGCCUUAGGGUUGUAAAGCUCUUUUACCCGGGAUGAUAAUGACAGUACCGGGAGAAUAAGCGCCGGCUAACUCCGUG